rnacentral:tRNA from 1 species
CUGGGUCUGGCCGAACGGUUAGGCACCUCGUUUGGGGCGAGGACUAUGCGGGUUCGAGCCCUGCGGCCCAGACCA